UGAACUCUCCCUUGACAGCGAGCUUGGAGGUGGAGAGACUUCAGGAGCAAACUGUAUUUACAUGAACACACCUACUCUGCCAUGAUAUCUCAGUA